GCCUUGAUGUGUAGGAUAGGUGGGAGGCUUUGAAGUGUGGACGCCAGUCUGCAUGGAGCCAACCUUGAAAUACCACCCUUUAAUGUUUGAUGUUCUAACGUUGCCCCGUGAUCCGGGGUGCGGACAGUGUCUGGUGGGUAGUUUGACUGGGGCGGUCUCCUCCCAAAGCGUAACGGAGGAGCACGAAGGUUGGCUAAGCAUGGUCGGACAUCAUG
rnacentral:rRNA from 1 species